GGGUGAGUAACGCGUAGGCAACCUGCCCUUAGCAGAGGGAUAGCCAUUGGAAACGAUGAUUAAAACCUCAUAAUGCUGACGGAGCACAUGCUCUUUUGGCCAAAGAUUUAUCGGCUAAGGAUGGGCCUGCGUCUGAUUAACUGGUUGGUGAGGUAGCGGCUCACCAAGGUGACGAUCAGUAGCCGACCUGAGAGGGUGAUCGGCCACAUUGGAACUGAGACACGGUCCAAACUUCUACGGAAGGCAGCAGUAAGGAAUCUUGCACAAUGGGGGAAACCCUGAUGCAGCAACGCCGCGUGAACGAUGAAGGCCUUCGGGUUGUAAAGUUCUGAUCUUGGGGAAGAAGAAGUGACGGUACCCAAGGAGAAAGCCCCGGCUAACUACGUGCCAGCAGCCGCGGUAAUACGUAGGGGGCAAGCGUUAUCCGGAAUUAUUGGGCGUAAAGCGUGCGUAGGUGGUUACCUAAGCGCAAGGUUUAAUCUUGAGGCUCAACCUCAUUCUGCCUUGCGAACUGGGCUACUUGAGUGCAGGAGGGGAAAGCGGAAUUCCUAGUGUAGCGGUGAAAUGCGUAGAUAUUAGGAAGAACACCGGUGGCGAAGGCGGCUUUCUGGACUGUAACU
rnacentral:rRNA from 1 species